GACCUCAAAUCAGGUAGGACUACCCGCUGAACUUAAGCAUAUCAAUAAGCGGAGGAAAAGAAACUAACAAGGAUUCCCCUAGUAACUGCGAGUGAAGCGGGAAAAGCUCAAAUUUAAAAUCUGGCGGUCUCCGGCCGUCCGAGUUGUAAUCUGGAGAAGCGUUUUCUGCACUGG
rnacentral:rRNA from 1 species